UUGAGAAUUGUAUCGGAAUAAUGUUGAUUUUGGUUUUUGGUUUUGCUGGAUUUCUGGUCACCGUUCACAGCUCCAAUGUCUUCAAAUCAACCGAUGACUGUGUGACUUUGUCGAAGCAUUGUAAGACUUACACUAUAAAUUGCAAAGUUGGAUUCAUGAUUGUUACACGUAUACUGUUUGAAACCACGAGCAAUAGCAAAAGCCAAUGUACGGACUGUUUGGAAACUUUUCGCAGCCAAACUAAUGACAUAACCAAUGGUAUAUAUGGUGGAUACAUCAAUGAUAUACUCCAGACAUGUUCCUUUCAACAAUCGUGUAUAUUGCGGCAUUACGAAAUGGAUCCACUAAAAAUCGGUGUUCGAUUCAAGUGCCUUUUAGGACAAAUCAUCACAGAUCCUUGUGGAGUUAACUUUUAUGUACUUAACAGCGAUGACCUACAUCAUAUUGUUAUGAUGCGUUCAUCAGAGAACGGAACAUGCAGAUGUGUGAUCAAUGGAUCGACAGAACUGACUGUUCAAGACUUCUUCACAAACUUUUGUCAUGGCAAAAUUGCCGCUUGUCAUGUUUCAAACAGUGUAUUAAUGUUGGAUAAUUUUGUGUUCAAUAAACUUAAUAGUACAAACAUCAUUUAUAGUGGCAAUUCAUAUGCGGAUAUUUCGAAUAUCACCAUCCAUUUCGACGAGAUCUUUCAACGUCUUUGGUUG